UUCUGAGGCUUGAGGGAGGAACUACAUCUCCCAGCAGCCUCCGCGGCCGAGCGGGAUGUGUAGUCCUUUGACUCGGGGAAGCUGCGUUAAGGGGUCCCUUGGCCUCGCUGAUACGUUCGGCCUGAGGGCGGACUUCUGUCAGGAAUGGCACCAGGAGUUGUGGUGGCAGUCUCCCCUGCUAGAACUGGACCAGUAAAGAAGGUGCAUCCGUGGAGUCAGGCUAAGGAGUACAUGGUUCAGGAAAUGAGAAGAACCCAUACCCAAUCUUAGUGAGAAGAAAUAGCUCCCACCUCUGUGCCAGCAGCCCAGCCCUCCCCCAUCCUCACGGAGAAGAGAGAAAAGGUAUUAGUGUUGUCUAUUAAGAGUAAUUUAAUG
rnacentral:lncRNA from 1 species